UCUUCCUUAGCUCAGUUGGUUAGAGCAUCUGACUGGAAAUCAGAGGGUCCCCGGUUCAAGUCCAGGAGGAAGAG
rnacentral:tRNA from 1 species